rnacentral:ncRNA from 1 species
GCAGAGUAGGAUCUUGUGCGUUAAGUGCCGCCCGAACGGGGAGUUGUCGGGAGGACGAAAAGAGUUCUUGCGGUACAAGAUCCGCAUCCCGCUGC